GCUGGGGUGGCCAAGCCCGGUUAGGCAGUCGGCUGCAGACCGACCAACGGGAGUUCAAAUCUCUCCCCCAGCU
rfam:Candidatus Altiarchaeales archaeon WOR_SM1_79 WOR1_52_54_24858, whole genome shotgun sequence.